GGGGAGCCACUAUUUUGGGAAAAAGUUUUCUGGGCCGCUCGUCAACCCCAGCCAGCGGGAUGCUGAUCUUGUUUGCACCAGCGCGAAUGCCGCCUGGCUCCCUCGAUGUCCGGGCGAGCCCUCUGGCCGGACGCCCACGGAGCGAGGCUCGGAGUCUGGCCCGAAGCAUUUGAAAUAUGCCUCCCCGCUUGCUCAGAGCGUCAAUCCUUCCUUAAGUGGGCAGGAGAGCUGAGCCGCGGAGCUGCCCCGGGCGCGAUUGCAGCGUCCCGUGUCACUCCGAGGGGGGAAGGAGCCCUUUGCCUGGCCAGGGUAGCAGAUGCUGCAGAGUAAAACAAUGAUAAUAAUGGUGGUGAGAGCUAAAAAUAGGCUUUGUGUCGCUUCUGUCAUUGGCUCUGCCUCCAGCAUUUGGAAAUUGGUUUGGAAAACCUUGAUUUCUCUUCCAAAGGCCCCAGCACCACACUGCCACCACGUUUCAGCCACAGCAGGAAAAGUUUUCAUCCGAAGACUGCUGAAAUAAAUUAUAAAUAAAAAGUGCUUGGCAAGGAGAGGUGCACGGCAGCAGGCACAGCUGCCGCAGAUGUUUUCUUAUGUUGCCAAAAAGUCUGAUUUUCCACCAAAAAAGGUUUUGAUGGAAAACUCCUAAUGCAUCCAGCUUGCUGCGUGGUUGAAAGACACCGGCUUUGGAAACACCAUUGGGUCUCAAGACAUAGUUAGCUCUCCGGUUCAUAGGUAUAUGGUCUACCUCGACCGUUAUUGGCAGUGUUCGUUAUUUGUAUUACGGUGAUCUCGGGUGAAUGUGCACAUAGUUCAGGCAAUCACAUUUCUUCUGUAAUUGUCCUUGAUGUAGGUAUGAUUUGGGAUUGAGCAAAAGUGCAUCUUCUGGGAAGAGGCAGACAAGGUUCCUUGGGUGAAUUUGAUAUCUUUUAUUAGACCAACCCAAAUAGUUGGAGAAUAGUUAUUAAGCAAGCUUUCGGGUUCAAAAACCCUUCGUCAGGCUCAGGAAGCUUCAGCAGUUGGUGUGUCUUCUGGGAAGAGACAGCCCAGUGUGACUUGGGCCCUGCGAGCAGUAGAUACUAUACAGAAUAUCGUGGCAAGUUGCUCCAAUGGCUAAUUACGCCCCUCGUUAAAAUUUGUGUCGUUUCCAGUUUGAAUUUUAUUGCCUUCAGCUUCCAGCCCCUGGACCUUAGUUAUGUCCUUGUCUGGUAGAUGAAACGUUUUUUAAAACCGCUAUUCAGCAGAUGUGAAACAUGGGGAUGUUUCGGUCCAAAAGCAGAGGAUUUUGGAAAUGUUCCGAGCGAGUGAAAGGUGGGAUUCCCCCUGAAAACCUGCCUGGCAGCCUUCGGCCCUGUGGAAGCAGGAUAAAUAGCACAGAGGAACUAUUUUAACCAGAUUGGAAAAGGGAUUGGACAUGUUUUUGGAGGAAAGGGGUGUCUGUAUCUAGUAAGCAUGGGGGUGAGGGGCACGGCCUCUGCAUCAGACCUUCCUGGACCUUCGAUGCUGGAGGCUGCAAGUGGGAGAGAAGCCCUGGUAAGACCCUGCUCGCUGUCCCUGUCAGCCUCCGCUCCCUGCUGUCGUGUGUCAGGAGACCGGGCAAGCCGGACCAAGGGUCUGACCCAGUACACGGCAGCUCUGAUGUUCUUUGACUAAUUUCAUAUGUUUGUAUCUCGCUUUCUGAGUGAUUUAGGAACCAGCAUCCAGUGGCCAAGGGUGCCUUGGUCAUCCAUGAGCCCAAAUCCCACUGGUCUGCAGUGAGCACCUGGUGUGACCCCACCGGGAGGGAUGCACACGGUCCUGCGGUGUUUGCAAGCUCCGCUGUGUGCACCAGGGCAGCCGGGCGGUGGAGCAGGAGGGAGGGCGGCAGAUGGUCACAGGACUCCAGGGUUGGUGCAGACUUGGGGAGGGGUUGUUGCCUUGAUAUGCUGCCUCGGUUUCCUUUGCUUUCAGGGGCAAAAAGAUGGGCUGGUGAGGCUUACCGUUCCCUUAACUAAAUUGCUUUGUGCAGGACUUCGACUGAAUGCCACACGACACAUCUUUGCAUGUGCCUUCAGAGACGGCAGCCAGGCCGGCACGGGGGUGACACGCAGCCCCCACGACACACGUGUGUAUUGGUGUUGGUCCUUGCAUGUGCCUUCAGAGAUGGUGGCCAGGCUGACAUGGGGACGUGACACACCUGUAUGGGUGUGGGUUCAUGGAUGCUGCCAGCCUGAGAUGCCUGGUUUUAGCUAAUAUCGUGUCCCCACUGGUGAUGUAACUAAUAUCAAUAACUCAUCCUCGGACUUCAAACGUGGCCCAUGAGAUGCAUGGCGGGGGAUUGCAGUUCGUCUUAGCACACGGGUUGUCCAUCCUGUCCCUCCCUCGUGCCUCCCUGGGGGUUGUGCCUCCCUGUCCCUCCCUCGUGUCUGACAGCUCUGUUGCAGAGGCGGAUGUGGACGUGAGCUCUGGAUCCAGGCUCCGGAGAGAUGCAGCCCCUGCUCCCACCUCCAGCCUGAGCCCGAAGCAGAACGCAAAGUCCAGGCUGUGAAGGCCCAGCUCCCAUCAGCCCCUCGCCAGGUCUCUGCACCAGUGACUGGAUUAUGACUCACCUUGCCCUUGCCCCGCCAUUUGGAUGUACAGUCACAAUCAUGUGGUUUAAGCAGCAUCCCCCCCACCCACCCCAUGCAGGAUGCGGUGCUCUGUGAUGGGAACAGAUUAAACACCGUUAUCACGCUGAUGAGGUCACCCUGCAUCCCACAUAUUCCACUAGGAUCCUCCUGUCUCCCAGGGGAGUCUGGGGUUUAGGUGCCUGUUAUAGUCACCCUGACCUAGUCCUUCCCACAGAGCUGCAGGAAAAUCCCUGCUCAGCCCAAAGCGCAGAGGCUGGCCCUUUGAGCUAAAGGAGGAGCUUCACUAGCCGGUAGCUGUAGUAGGUUCUUAUCCUCAUCGCUGGCCAAGCUGCUGGAGGGGAGAGAUGGCCCAUCUGCAUAUUCAGUUUAGCCUUUGCACGUACUCGCCUGUGGGCACACACUAGGUGCAGAGGCCAGGGAGGGUGUUCAGCAAGUCCUAAUAUUGGGACAUACAGUUUCCAGGAUAUAGCACCUGAGAGAGAAUCCGCACACACCACACAUGCAUGCAUGCACACACAUGCACACACACAGGAACAUGUGCACACAUACACGCACAUGCAUGCCGAUAUAUAUGCAUACCCACACAGGUAUGGGCACACGUGCAUGUGCAUGUAUAUGUACACCCACGCAGUUAUGGGUGCAUGCAUGCAUACACGCACAUGCGUACAACUAUAUACCUACACCCACACACAGCCCAUACUGAGGACAGGAAAUCAGGGUUGCAUCAGCCUCACGAUUGUAAGGGGAGCGGCUGUAGGGUUGCGGCAGGGCCUGGUUUCCUCCUGUCCUGAAGGCCUGGUGCCCUGGGUAGCUGCAGCCCCGGCCUUGCCAGUUAAACCCAUUUCCCUUCUCUCAGGGACACAACGAGCACUGUCGUUUCCCGUAAGGACACACGGCAGGUUCAGAGUCACGCCCUCCCCUCCCCAGUCCGGCUGCUGCCUCAUGCAGGGCGUUGAGGGAUUGCCGCUGGACGUUCCCCGCGAAGCCAAGUGCGCACUUGGUAGCGAGCAAUAAACAUAACUCCUGUCUGUCCAAACACAGGCGUGCACCCGCUGCACCCGGCUCCUUCCUGGCUGCGCGGUGACACAGACCAGCUGCUCUGGGCAGGCCAGGCCGGCAGGACAUGGACAGGGAGAAAGGGGAGAUGGAGUCAGGGGCAGAAGGCAGAGAGGCGGCAGGGAGAUGAGUGGCACCAGGGAGCCAGCCCAGAUGGAGCCCCUCACAGCCGCGCGGUGAUGGAUGAGGAAGACUGGGCAUGGAGAAAAUGAAGCCUUCUUCUGUCCCUUUCUUACCUUGAGGCGGUCUGUGCUUUCAGGAUCCCUUUGUGAGAUGGUGGGAGCCCUUGGCAUGGUCAGUUGGGGUCUCGUGUCACCCAAGCCCUCUUCCAGGUGAGCUGGGUUGGUCACAUCCCAGCUCUGUGCCUCAGUUUCCCCAUCUGCAAAUGGCCCCUGUCUGUGCAACACUGCUCAGUGCGACUCCGCAUUGCAUCCAAAGCCCGUUGGGAUCAAUCGCUCUGUGCCUGGCCCUGGAGGCUGGGGUUUGGUGCUUUGCUGAAUCAGGGCCCAAGAGAGGGAUUUCUGCAUGGGGGAGAAAGGUGACCUGGAAGGAAGAAGGGGCCAGAGGAAGGAGCAAAGCCUUGUGACCCACUAGAGCAUAUGGGUUGGACAAUAUAUGCUGAUGGCAACAGUCCUGCUGAGCUCCACCAGGCCACGACUGCACCAUCAUCCAGAUCCCAGGAUGCCGGGGCAGGGGUGAUGGAGGAGGAGGACUGUUCACCUCCUGAGGACAUGAAGCCUAAUCCCAGUGCAUGGGAAAGCCAGUAGCAGGUCUCUUCUCUCGGGCCUUGGACAUGGGUGAUGGUGAGAGACUGCAGCACAGAUGCAAACUCCCUCCCGGGGAAAGGCUUUCCCUUCUCCGUGGGGCUGAGUCCCGCCAGCGCUCCCUGGAGCCAUCGGGCAUCUUGUGUGCAGAGCUCUCCCCUUUAGCGUUUUGGCCUAGAGGGAAUAUUCACAGCUGCUUUCAACGCCUCGACAGGAAAGAUUGGCUUUAAACUCCGGCAGCUCUCAGUCAGCGAAUGGUGCAGCCAUGGUAUUUAAUGCCCAACAUUUGGGUGGGAGAAACAUGUUUCCAGAGUGGUUCUCCUGCUCAGGGCAGAUCUGUGGCAAGGCAGACCGUGCCGGUGACUUGUUCGGAGAGCGGGGUGCUCUGCGUUGGGCUCUUGUGCUGCAGAAGUGGUGGCACAGGCUGGGAGACGGCCUGAUCCUCGUGCGGGUCCAGCCCUGGCUGGCCGGGCAUUGCCAUCACUGCUCUACUCCUAUGGCCAUGCAAGGGCAAGAGGUUUCCUUGGUCUCUAUGGCCCGGCCAGAUCUCUGCCUCUCUGCCAGGACUAUGAGCAAGAGGGGGCAGGCAGCCGUGGUAAUACAGAUGCAGACGUCAAACCCAUCAAAUCCUACCAAGGAGCCCCCAGUGGGAAUGGCUGCUAGUUUCUGUGGACACGGGACAGUUUAGACCAGGGGAUCUAGGGAUCGAAAGCAGCAGGGUCCAUUAUUCUGGGCUGUCCACUGUCAUGACCUUGGAUUUUCUAACCGUGGGCAUGACCGCAUGGCUCAAGCCGUACCGCUCAGGAAGGUGAUGGGGACACGGACGCUGCCUGUUUGCUUCAUAAAAAGGAGAGAUUCUCUGUUCCCAGCUCCAGGUUUCCUUUCUGCAGUGCAAUGGGGAUGCUCCAGUUUGAGAGCUGAACUGGAACCCAAGGGCUCGACCUGCGCUGGGCAAACCGAGGUAUUUGUCAUCGCCUCUGCAAGGGAAGCGCCUAAACCCAGGGCCCUCUCAUUUCAGCCCUUCAUCCCUCUCCGCUGGAGGAUUGGGUUGCCCAGAGCCCAGAACCGCUCAGCUUGGAGCAAUAGGUCACCGGUUGCGGACACCUUUCCUGACACUAAAACUCGAAAUGUCGACGGUGUUUCAAAUUUGGGGUGAACACCUUUCAGACUGCAUCGUUCAACGACACGUCCAUCGUGCUCCUCUCCAGUCCCGAGACGUCAGCCAGCCACCGAGCUGGCCGAACUUUCCAAGUGUGGGGGAGCUUCAAUGAGGAGACCCCCGUGGCCUACACCGGCCAGCAUCUCCCAGCCCAGACAAGCAGCUUGCCUCUGUCCAGUUGUUUUUCCCAGCUUUCCCUUGCAGAUCUCUCUCCUCCCAUCUGCCUGCUAAUAAAUUACAAAGUGUAAACAAUUAGCCAUAAACCAGGUCCAUCCCGCCCAGACCUCCUGCAGCCCUUGCUCUCACUCCUUGCCACGGCCUGUAGCCCCGGGGAGGAUUUUUUUUGCCCCCCGGCAGCUGGGACCAUUUUGUCCCAGUUCAGGAGAGCGAGCCGGGAGCUGGCAGGGCUCCAGCUCGGACAGUGCGGUGACACGGUCCUUUCCCAGAAGAUGAAUGGCGGCCAGUUUUUCUUAAUCCAGCCACUUCGGAAAAAUUGUUUGUUCUCAUCCUGUUUGAAACAGCUUCAAAGUGGCUCCAAGUCUAGACUGUGCCAAGAUAAAUUACAAACCCAAAGAGCUGAUAUAAACCAUGGGGGAACUAGUCAUUUGCCCUGAUGUAAUUAAAACAAGAUAGAAUAAUGUAUAAACCAGCGGAGAAAAUAUUAUUAAUCCAAAGUACCUUCCAGACUGGAAGAUCUGGAUUCAUUCACACUGGAUACAUUGCAAGUGUUCCUAAGUUUGCUAGCUAUGAGCCAAAAAUGCAGCAAAUACCUAAGGUGCCUUUUUUUUAUAUCGCAGUCACACUGGUGCCCCACUGUGCUACCUGCACUGCCAGAAUAGUGGGAACCGUGCCUUGCGUUGCAAUUUGUACCACUUUUAAUAGUUAAAGACCAGAGUUCAUCUUGCUUUGUCCCACUGGGGCUCUCUGAGAUGUAGACACUGAUCAGUUUGUUGGUUAAAACCUCAACUUAUUUGGAAAUUGUGCAACAUUUUACACUGACUUCCUUCCUGACCUCAAGGAACAAGGGACCUGUGCCCUGAAGCAUGAGGGCUGAUAAUAUCCCCUGUCGUUUUUUUAAAAUUCUUGCUUGUGUAACCGGAGUGGCCGUUCACAGUCAUGUCUCUCUAAUUGCGGGAUCUGAGUUAUUGGCCGCGGUGGCCCUGUAAAUCUACGUUCGUGUUUUCUGUUGCAAAGCUGCUGUCUGUCUGCUCUGAUCACUUGUAAAAUACUGGGGUGGAGGGGUUGUUUUCAGUAAGUCGCAGCUAAAUUGAGAGCUCUCGAUGAGAAAGGGAAGGCUUCUUUCUGCUGGAAGCUUGCACUGGUUUAAUUGUAGUGGGCUCAUUAAAGCAGUAAACCGCUCCCCUAGUGCAAAUGCAACUGUAUUGGUACCAGGAGGGGUUGUAUCAGUGGAGCUUCUCCCAGCUACACUGGGGAAUGACCAGAUGGGUGUAUCAGGGAUGUAUUUGGUAGCCGUGUUGGUCUGAGAUAAAAAGAAAUGCAAAACUCUAAAACUCUUGGUUUUAGAGAGAAUACCUUUUAUUAGACCAGCUAAGGAAUUGCAAAAAAAAAAUGAUCUUUCUUUGCAAGCUUCUGGGCGCACACACCCUUUUUCAGGCUGAGGACAAAUCCAAGAUGGUAACAAUCCUGACACCCCCAGGGAAAUGACUGGAUGGGUGGGUGUAGGACACUAAUGGAGCUGUGCUUCUACUAGCUUGUCCCAGCGGAGCUAAUUUGGUAAAAAAAAAAAAAAUCAAAAACAAAUCCAAAAAAAAAAAUCAUCCCCUGUCCCAGCCGGUUAGACCGGUAAGGCUUUCAAGCGUACACCAGGCUCGAGGGGGAAAUGUUUCUCUUUGCCCCCACCCCAGCAGUUGUGCUUAUCUGGGCAUCUCGGUGUGUUUGUUCACCAAGCUGGGCGCGUGCCUCCUUCCCAAGCAGAUCCCAGGACUUUUUCCAAACAGGACAUUAUCUUCAAGUGAAAACAAAGCCAAGGCAAGCUGCAAGCGCAGGCUUGUGCAGGCUGCAGUUAGUACUGGCCUUCUGCUGCCUGUUUGCAGGACAGGGGCUGGGGUGGGGGUGGUCCCCAUCUGUUUCUUCCUGCUUCUGCACUUCCCACGUUGUAUCCAGGUAGGUCAAGGGCUCAGCACCAGGCUCUGGUGGCAUCAGAGCUGAUCUGCCCCAGGCUGGAUCCUACGGAGCGGCUUGAGUCCUAUUGCAUGGAGCAGUCUAGCAGAGAGGAGAGAUCCCACUGCCAUCCCCCCGUGAGCAAAGCAGUCUCCAACCCACAUUGCAGACAUGCCUGGGCCUUUGGGAGGCUGCAGCAUUUGGCUUUCCAUGCUGCUAUUGGGUGUGCAGGGGUUUAGACAGGUUGCAAUCUCCUGGUAGCUCAGAAAGACCAAAGGAGAGUUAGGCCCUGGGUCUGGGCCAAGGCUGCCCUGCCUGACAAAGUGCACGCGUCCAGCAAGCAUGCACUGACCGUCCCACCCCUCCAUCCUCCUAGGAAACUUAUGUCAAGGCCAUCUGCAUGUGGCCGGGAACUGAGCACCUUGCUAAGGCUUAGCCAUCUCAUGGAGCAGGUCCGGUCUCUGGCAUUAGCUCCUGCUGGCUCCUGGAAAAGCUUUGAGCUUCCUCCUAGAGCAGGGGUGGGCAGUGUGUGGCAGGUGGUACGUGGCCAGAGCAGGAAAAAAAUCAGCACCUUGAGCAGCAGAAGGGGGUGGGAGUGGCACUUGGGGAUGGUGCAGGAGUUAAUCUGUGGCACGUCUUCCCAAAUCCUUGGCCCCACUGUCCUGGAGGAUGCCCCAGGGAGAGAGGGACCUCGGCAUGAUGCACCUCUGCCAGCGCAGCCCCUUUCACCCUGGCACCGCCAAUGCUGGUGUUGGGCACAAGCUCUUGUGCUGGGUCCCUGCCACAAGCCUGAAACCUGCUCUCGCCGCAUCCAGGUCACCCAGGAACCUAACCCCGAAACCCACCCCUGCCUUGGGGACCCUGCUUAGCUGCCCCAUGGUGGAGCAUUCUUCAGCCACAUAAAUUUUCGGCCCCGGGGGCUUUGAAGUUCCCGCCGAGGACAGUUGUUUUUGUUUGUAGUGUUGCUUAUCACUCCAAUGUGCCCUCCCCGUCUCCGUGCGGGCUGCACCCUCCAUCUCGCCCCCUGCUUCUGGCCAGGCAGGCUUUGCUGCCAGGGACCGCCGCACUGCCAGAGACCGCUGAUAAGGAUGAUGGAUGGGAAGAAGGCUGGCUCCACGCGGCCCAGGGCCUUCCUGGGAGCUCGAGACAGUCUCGCUGCUCCAAAGCCGGCUGGAAUGCUCCGGGGAGCGGGGGGUGGGGGGAAAGGAGAGGAAGGGGCCAAAAAACCUGCACCCACCCCUCCCAAGAUGAAUCCCAGAUGAGCUCAGCUGGGCUCUGAUAGCAGAUUUCAGCACCCAUCCCCCGCGGUGAUUUGCUCGCAUGUCGACAGGCAUCCCUGUCAACAUCGUGCACUCGCCCCGCGUGCUCCUCUGCACCCACGAUACCGCGGCGCGGUGACCUGGAGGCCGGCGUGAGAAGCCAGAGCUAGGCCAUGGCAUGUGGCAUCCCGCGCCAACGUGGCCUUCAUCCCCUUUGAGCGUCCGUGGUUUUGGGGCUGCCGUUGUCAUUUGUGAGCUGAGUUUUGCUGUUCUCAAAAACAAGGUCAUGUCAGACUCUCUCCCUUUCCCCCAGCUCUGCUCUGGUUCUGCGUGGAGGGAAGAAGUGCUGGCGCUUCUCGACUGUGAAGACGGGCCAUCUAGAAGCAGCUCUGGAUCCGUUCCCCUGCUCCCUGGGGACUGAACGAGGCCCGCGGCUUUUGUCGGCCACUGCCUGCAACCUGCCACCGGGUCCGUGGCUCCAGACAGGUGCCGGCACAGGAGACAUCCUGGUGAUGGUGACACAGAGGCCACAUCCGUGGUGAGACCAGACCCUUGCACGCGUGUCCUGCUCAGCACAUGCCAUGGCCCCACGUGUCCUGGACAGCUCUGGGCAUGUGCUCAGCUGGAAAUGCUGCCUGAUGCCUGAGUCAGGUGUGCCACGGGGGCAGGACGGACAUGCCAAAGUCCCGCGGUGCCGUGCCUGGGAUAGGGCACAUGCGUGGGAGCUGCAGGGCACAGCGGGACCAGCUGGGAAGCAGCAUUGGCAAGCAGACAGCAGUGCCCUUGACGACGCUGGGGCAGGCCCGGGAGCCUCGCGAGGCCUGGCGAGUCUGUCGGGAAGCCUGAGAGCUGGCAUAGAAACAGGAGGAGAGGGGCCGAGGAGGCUUCGAGGAAGAAGCGCAGCUUUUCUGCGCAGCACAGACAGCCCCUCGCCGGAGGACCGUCCGGGCAGGAGUUGGGCUUGCGGGGUGGCUGGCAGCACUGGGGAGACCAGAGCCCAAGGGAGCAGCAACCGUGCAUGGAGGUGUGCGCAGAGACAGCUCAGGAGAUGCUCCAAGCCUUGAUCUGCCUGUGUCUGUGUCUCCGGCGGAGCUGUAAUGCCCUAGAUUGCACCGGUGGGUGGAUUCUCUUCCCUAGCUGUGUGGCUUCUCUUUCACAGCUGAAGAAACCCUUCCCCAGGAGGUCUGAGAGCCAAACCCACAUUGCUGCUGCUCCAGCCAGCUCUGUAUAGGACCGCUGCAAAAUAAAUCAGUCCUCACCGCCCAGCCGGGCACUGACUGUUGGACGAGAAUAGCCUCAAAGUGCUCUUCAUACACAACCGUUCUCCAGUCUUUAUAGGAAGAGAGUUGAUGAGCUAAAAGGCAGAUGCAUUUAACCUCUUUUGUGCCCUGGAGAACACGUGCCCAGUGAACACGGUGUGCCCCUGAGUCAGGCUGAGGAUGGGGGUGCCAAAGGACACAAGGAUUUACUAACAUGGUCGGUGUCGUGACAAAAGCACCACGUGCAAAGUCUGUUGCAGUUUGGUGUGUCUGUGCGUGAUGGAGAAUAGCGUGCUCAUCCUCAGGUCUCCGAGCAGGUAAGUGUGACAAUCCCCAUCGUACUGCUAAAGUGAAGGGAGAUGAAGGGACUUGUCCAAGGGGAUCCUGCAGGUCAGUGGCAGAGCCAGGACUGGGCUGCAGGGCUCCUGGGUCCCAGUUCACUGCUGUCUGCCAGGCCACAGUGCAAGAUGGGCCUUAAGACUGGGUGCACCCACAGCUGACAAAGGUUGUGGGCUGUAUCCUGCACCUGACACCAGUGUUUAGGCCUCUGGUCAUGUCUUGAGUGUUUACACCAUCCCUGAUCCCCUUAGCCCUGCACAGCUGUCUCUCCCGGCCUGGUACAGACCCCCUCACCCAUCCUUCAUUGAGUCGAUUCGGACCCCCACAGCCAACUUUAGGUCAAAAAUAAAACUUUUAUGGCUAAAACACUCUCUGUGUAUCUGAAGCACCCCUGUCCCUCCCAACAAAGGGAAUGCAGCUCCUCAAUACUAGCACCAGAGCAGUUGUUCCCUCCGCAGCAGCCUCCACCAGAUAAACCGAUGACAACUUUGCUGGUUGCUUAAUAUACAUCACUAAAAAUAACAUCCCUGUAUUAGAGCGUGGGCAUCUCCAGCUUUGAAAAGCAACUUCCCGGCCUUGGCUGGGGGUGUAGGCGGCUACCAGAGACGACGGUCCUGUGACGGUGCUCAUUUCCACCGGCACCACUCCGAAACCAGAGGAAGCCCUUGAUGUCCCACAAGCCUCAUCUUUGUCCCUCGGAGAUGCUCAGUGCUGAGUUUGCUGUCGGGUGCCGGCACGUGUGGGAGAAGCGCAGAGACAGAGAGGUGAAGAGGUCUCCUCCUGUUCUCUGUAGUGUCAAGGAUAAUAAUGAAAACACAGGCAGGGCCCCUUCGUGCCUGCACGUGGCUUUAUCUUCAUCAGCCCUCCUGAAAGCUGAGUCAGGCUUGCUCCCAGGGGGAUUGCAGCUGCAUGGAGGUUGGC